rnacentral:rRNA from 1 species
GAGCGGUAACAGGUGUAGCAAUACAUGCUGACGAGCGGCGAACGGGUGAGUAACGCUUCGGAAUCUGCCCAAUGGUGGGGAAUAACCAGCCGAAAGGUUGGCUAAUACCGCAUACGCCCUACGGGGGAAAGCGGGGGAUCGCAAGACCUCGCGCCGAUGGAUGAGCCGAAGCCGGAUUAGCUAGUUGGUAGGGUAACGGCCUACCAAGGCGACGAUCCGUAGCUGGUCUGAGAGGACGACCAGCCACACUGGGACUGAGACACGGCCCAGACUCCUACGGGAGGCAGCAGUGGGGAAUAUUGGACAAUGGGGGAAACCCUGAUCCAGCGACGCCGCGUGUGUGAAGAAGGCCUGCGGGUUGUAAAGCACUUUUAGUGGGGAUGAAAAGCUCAGNGGCUAACACCUCUGGGUCUUGACCUAACCCACAGAAAAAGCACCGGCUAACUCUGUG